rnacentral:rRNA from 1 species
UACGAAGGGGGCUAGCGUUGCUCGGAAUUACUGGGCGUAAAGGGCGCGUAGGCGGACAGUUUAGUCAGACGUGAAAUCCCUCAGCUUAACUGGGGAACUGCGUCUGAUACUGGCGGGCUUGAGGGCAGGAGAGGAACGCGGAAUUCCAGGUGUAGCGGUGAAAUGCGUAGAUAUCUGGAGGAACACCGGUGGCGAAGGCGGCGUUCUGGACUGUUACUGACACUGAAAAACGAAAGCCAGGGGAGCAAACGGG